rnacentral:pre_miRNA from 1 species
AAUGUAAUUGCUGGAUGAUAUGGUAAGCCAAUGUUUAGUUUUGUAGGAAAUUCCCAAACUGUCUUCCAAAGUGGCUGUACCAUUUUCCAUUCCCACCAGUAAU